rnacentral:rRNA from 1 species
UGGCGGCGUGCCUAACACAUGCAAGUCGAGCGAAGUUUAUUAAAGGAAGUUUUCGGAUGGAAUUUAAUAAACUUAGCGGCGGACGGGUGAGUAACGCGUGUGCAACCUGCCCUGUACAGAGGGACAACAACGGGAAACCGUUGCUAAUACCUCAUAAAACCCUAAAGGGGCAUCCCUUAUGGGUCAAAGAAUUUCGGUACAGGAUGGGCCCGCGUCUGAUUAGCUAGUUGGAGAGGUAAUGGCUCACCAAGGCGACGAUCAGUAGCCGACCUGAGAGGGUGAUCGGCCACACUGGAACUGAGACACGGUCCAGACUCCUACGGGAGGCAGCAGUGGGGAAUAUUGCACAAUGGGGGAAACCCUGAUGCAGCAACGCCGCGUGAGCGAUGAAGGCCUUCGGGUCGUAAAGCUCUGUCCUAAGGGAAGAAAUUUGACGGUACCUUAGGAGGAAGCCCCGGCUAACUACGUGCCAGCAGCCGCGGUAAUACGUAGGGGGCAAGCGUUAUCCGGAAUCACUGGGCGUAAGGGUGCGUAGGCGGUCUUACAAGUCAGGGGUGAAAGGCUACGGCUCAACCGUAGUAAGCUUUUGAAACUGUAGGACUUGAGUGCGGAGAGGAAAUGGAAUUCCUAGUGUAGCGGUGAAAUGCGUAAAUUUUA